UUAAAAAGCUCGUAGUUGGAUUUCUGUGGGGACGGAGCGGCCGGCCGCUACUAGCGGUUCGAGCUAGCGCUUUCCCUACAUCCUGCCGCGAACUGUGCUACCAUUAGUUUGGUGGCGCCGGGGAUCGGCUCGUUUACUUUGAGAAAAAUAGAGUGUUCAAAGCAGGCCACACGCCUUGAAUAAGUUAGCAUGGAAUAAUAACUAAGGACUUCGGUUCUAUGUUGUUGGUGUUCGGGACUGAAGUAAUGAUUGAUAGGGACAGUUGGGGCGGUCCGUAUUCCAAAAGCGAGAGGUGAAAUUCUUAGACCUUCGGAAGACGAACAGCUGCAAAAGCGUUCCGCAAGGAUGUUCCCUUUGAUCAAGAACGAAAGUUGGGGGAUCGAAGACGAUCAGAUACCGUCGUAGUCUCAACUA
rnacentral:rRNA from 1 species